UACGGGAGGCAGCAGUGGGGAAUAUUGCACAAUGGGCGAAAGCCUGAUGCAGCUAUGCCGCGUGUAUGAAGAAGGCCUUAGGGUUGUAAAGUACUUUCAUCGGGGAGGAAAAACAAAACUAAUAAUUUUAUUUCUUGACGUUACCCGAAAAAGAAGCACCGGCUAACUCCGUGCCAGCAGCCGCGGUAAUACGGAGGGUGCUAGCGUUAAUCAGAAUUACUGGGCGUAAAGAGCACGUAGGUGGUUUUUUAAGUCAGAUGUGAAAUCCCUGGGCUUAACCUAGGAACUGCAUUUUGAAACUGAAAUACUAGAGUAUCGUAGAGGGAGGUAGAAUUCUAGGUGUAGCGGUGAAAUGCGUAGAUAUCUGGAGGAAUACCUGUGGCGAAAGCGGCCUCCUAAACGAAUACUGACACUGAGGUGCGAAAGCGUGGGGAGCAAACGAGGAUUAGAUACC
rnacentral:rRNA from 1 species